rnacentral:misc_RNA from 1 species
GUGAAUCAUCAAAUUUUUGAACGCAAAUUGCGCUUCCUGGCAUCCCGGGAAGUAUGCCUGUUUGAGGGUCAGUAUUAAUAAAAAAUCGGUUUAGUUACAAAUUGUGACGUUUCCGGAGUUUGGGCUAUCUUAACAUUUUUGGUUAAGAGGCUUAAAAUUGACCUUUUUUGCGCAUUUUUAGACGUACAUAAAUUUUUUUUUUUUUUUUUUCUAUUUUUAAUUCCAAAAUCCUUUUAGAUGCGAUCACA